rnacentral:rRNA from 1 species
GAUGAACGCUAGCGGCAGGCUUAAUACAUGCAAGUCGAGGGGCAGCGGGAGUAGCAAUACUUGCCGGCGACCGGCGCACGGGUGCGUAACACGUAUGUAAUCUGCCCAUCACAGGAGGAUAGCCCGGAGAAAUUCGGAUUAAUACUCCAUAAUAGAAGAUAAAGCAUUUUAUUUCUUGAAAGUUCCGACGGUGAUGGAUGAACAUGCGACUGAUUAGUUUGUUGGUGAGGUAACGGCUCACCAAGACUACGAUCAGUAGGGGUACUGAGAGGUUAAACCCCCACACUGGUACUGAGACACGGACCAGACUCCUACGGGAGGCAGCAGUAAGGAAUAUUGGAC